UUUGGUAGUUUGUUUAGUGUCCGUCUUCAUUAAAUAUAUAACAUGUAUUCAUAUUAUGCUGCGCUUUGGUCUCCUCUUUAUGACGAAUGUGACACAAGGAGUAUCAGCUGGCCAUCAGUAAUGGACCUAACGCUCUCCAUAGAGGACUGAGGGGCUUCAGAAAGCGACAAUGCUUUGGGUCAGCCUCUGGAAUCGGAUCCAAUGCCCUGGGUUGUGGUGCGAACAGAGGAUCCACUUCGGGAAAGUCGUAUUCCUGGUCGUAAUGUUGUGACACUGACUCCGAAUGGGAGUCUUAUGGGGGCCAUUCAAUAACCUGGAAUUUAAUAUGUGGGACAAACAUCCAAUUGAAGCCCUACAUGCAGAAUUCGGUCUAAAAUUCUACAAAUCCAGAGAAAUACACCAACUAAUGCAUGUAGGGCAGAAUGGGCCACUCUCCAGUAAUGAAAAUAUCAUUAAACUUUUGGCUACAUCUAAAUUCAAGUCUACAAUUUAAAGCACUUCAAACCCAAGAGCUGAGCCCAGAAACGAGCCCUCUCAGUCAGCUAGUGUUGGACCUAACCAACCAAGCUGACAUCAGCACUGCUUCAACCAUUUUUUUUUAUUCCAAUAAACAAAAUCAUGAACCAAUCAUAGGACUCAUAUUUACAUUGGAAAAACAAAACAAAAUCCCAAAGCUGACUAAAUUGCUAUCUGACCCUAAACAGAGAAUAUGAAUUGGCUGAUUAUCUCUAAUCUGUCAGAGAUACGAAGCAGCCAGAUCCUUGCCAGGUGCAGGCGGAGUAACCACCAAUUGGCAAUAGAAACCGGCAGACAUAAAAACACAUGGCUACCCAAAGAGGAGUGUAUAUGUGGUCACUGCUCGACAGGGGAUGUAAAAACAGAUGUACUUUCUCCUUUACUGUGUGAAAUAUUCCUCACCAAGGGAUUCAUUAUUCACAGAAAUGACUACAUUUUUUAAAACAUUUUUGACUUAUUAAACCUAGAGUAAAAACUGAAAUACACAUGGGCGAAGGAGCAAUGGCUCCUCUUGCAGCCAAAUAUGUAUUUGCCUGCUAUAGCCUGAGGGACACUGAAUAAUAACAACUGCAUAGUAAAUAGUAACCUACUUAUUAUUUGUAUUAUUACUAUUAUUGUUAUUGCUACUGUUAUUUCUAUUAUUGUUAUUGCUACUGUUAUUUCUAUUA